rnacentral:rRNA from 1 species
GCUGGCGGCGUGCCUAACACAUGCAAGUCGAGCGAGAAGGUAAUAAUUGAUUCUUCGGAAGAUUUUAUAACUGGACAGCGGCGGACGGGUGAGUAACGCGUGGGUAACCUGCCUUAUACUGGGGGAUAACGUUUUGAAAAGAACGCUAAUACCGCAUAAGCGCACAGCAUCGCAUGGUGCAGUGUGAAAAACUCCGGUGGUAUAAGAUGGACCCGCGUCAGAUUAGCUAGUUGGUGAGAUAAAAGCUCACCAAGGCGACGAUCUGUAGCCGACCUGAGAGGGUGAUCGGCCACAUUGGGACUGAGACACGGCCCAAACUCCUACGGGAGGCAGCAGUGGGGAAUAUUGCACAAUGGGGGAAACCCUGAUGCAGCGACGCCGCGUGAAGGAUGAAGGAUUUCGGUUCGUAAACUUCUAUCAGCAGGGAAGAUAGUGACUGUACCUGACUAAGAAGCCCCGGCUAACUACGUGCCAGCAGCCGCGGUAAUACGUAGGGGGCAAGCGUUAUCCGGAAUUACUGGGUGUAAAGGGUGCGUAGGUGGUUACUUAAGUCAGAUGUGAAAGCCCGGGGCUCAACCCCGGGACUGCAUUUGAAACUGGGUAACUAGAAUACAGGAGAGGUAAGUGGAAUUCCUAGUGUAGCGGUGAAAUGCGUAGAUAUUAG